rnacentral:rRNA from 1 species
AUUGAACGCUGGCGGCAGGCCUAACACAUGCAAGUCGAACGAGUGGCGGACGGGUGAGUAAUGUCUGGGAAACUGCCCGAUGGAGGGGGAUAACUACUGGAAACGGUAGCUAAUACCGCAUACCAUCGGAUGUGCCCAGAUGGGAUUGGCUAGUAGGUGGGGUAACGGCUCACCUAGGCGACGAUCCCUAGCUGGUCUGAGAGGAUGACCAGCCAACCGGGAACUGACACACGGUACAGACUCAUACGGGAGGCAUCGGGGGGGAAUAUUGCAAAAGGGGCGAGAGCCUGAUGCAGCCAUGCCGCGUGUAUGAAGAAGGCCUUCGGGUUGUAAAGUCCUUUUAGCGGGGAGGCGUUACCCGCAGAAGAAGCACCGGCUAACUCCGUGCCAGCAGCCGCGUAAUUC